rnacentral:rRNA from 1 species
GGCGGACGGGUGAGUAACGCGUAGGAAUCUACCUAGUAGAAGGGGAUAGCCCGGGGAAACUCGGAUUAAUACCGUAUACCCCCUAAGGGAGAAAGAGGGCCUCUCUUGAUGCUCUCGCUAUUAGAUGAGCCUGCGUAAGAUUAGCUUGUUGGUAAGGUAAUGGCUUACCAAGGCUACGAUCUUUAGCUGGUCUGAGAGGACGAUCAGCCACAUUGGGACUGAGACACGGCCCAGACUCCUACGGGAGGCAGCAGUGGGGAAUAUUGGACAAUGGGCGCAAGCCUGAUCCAGCCAUACCGCGUGUGUGAAGAAGGCCUUCGGGUUGUAAAGCACUUUAAGCAGGGAGAAAGAGCAAUAAGUUAAUACCUUAUUGCCGUGAUGUUACCUGCAGAAUAAGCACCGGCUAAUUCCGUGCCAGCAGCCGCGGUAAUACGGAAGGUGCAAGCGUUAAUCGGAAUUACUGGGCGUAAAGCGCGCGUAGGUGGUUUGUUAAGUUGGAUGUGAAAGCCCUGAGCUCAACCUAGGAACUGCAUCCAAAACUAACUCACUAGAGUACGAUAGAGGGAGGUAGAAUUCAUAGUGUAGCGGUGGAAUGCGUAGAUAUUAUGAAGAAUACCAGUGGCGAAGGCGGCCUCCUGGAUCUGUACUGACACUAAGGUGCGAAAGCGUGGGUAGCGAACAGGAUUAGAUACCCUGGUAGUCCACGCCGUANACGAUGACAACUAGCUGUUGGGAGACAAUGUCUUUCAGUGGCGCAGCUAACGUUUUAAGUUGUC